rnacentral:misc_RNA from 1 species
UGAUGUGCUUGGAGAGGAAGGUUCUUAGGGUUUGUCCAUCGUUGUUCAGUGAGCCAAUGAUAGAUUUACUUUUUGUUUUCUUCCUUUGAUGCUUGGCUUAUGGGUCUAUGCUUCAUCUGGUUCUUUAUUGAAGAAGAGGGUUCUUGAGGGUAAAUGCCAGCCUAUCUUUAAGGCAACACCUCUAGGCUCUCCCACUUCUUCUUCUAUUUUCCCUUGAGCCUCUUUGUGCUUGACUUCCAUGGUCUUGAUGCUUAAUGAUGUUGGUUUUGACUGAGUUUAAUAAUUGUUGCCUGGAUUCUAAGGGUGUUGCUGUGCUGUGGGUUCCUUAGAAAGGCUUUGUAGCCAUGUGUGGCUCAGGCGAUGAACUUCAGUUUGCUGCAAUCUCCCUUUCAGUGAAAAAUGUUUAACGACGUGUGAUAGAGGUGUCUCCUUAGUUCUGCCGGGUCUUGGAUUUAGACACAUGACUGCCCCAACAAGGGUUUGUGCUAAUGGGUUUGGGC